UCCACCAACAGCCACUCUAAUAGCAAAAUUUAGCUCAUUUUCUUGUCUUCUUAUUUGUUUACAUACUUUUCUUUAGUUUUCGUGCCCCUAGUUGGACUUUGUGCUGAUAUCUUUGCUGAUCUUUGUUGCAGUGGGAUUUCCACUUGAGGGCUUGUUACAACCUUAAUUGUGCGGCGGCAUCCGCCUUUCAAACCCAUCAGAGU
rnacentral:lncRNA from 1 species